rnacentral:rRNA from 1 species
UAACGGCUUANCCGUUAAACUGCUUGGGAAACUGAUAAUCUAGAGUAAGGGAGAGGCAGAUGGAAUUCUUGGUGUAGGGGUAAAAUCCGUAGAUAUCAAGAAGAAUACNUAUUGCGAAGGCGAUCUGCUGGAACUUAACUGACGCUAAUGCGUGAAAGCGUGGGGAGCAAACAGGAUUAGAUACCCUGGUAGUCCACGCCCUAAACGAUGUAUACCGGUUGUUGCUGUGCUAGUCACGGCAGUAAUCCACCUAACGGAUUAAGUAUACCGCCUGGGGAGUACGGUCGCAAGAUUAAAACUCAAAGGAAUAGACGGGGACCCGCACAAGCGGUGGAGCAUGUGGUUUAAUUCGAAGAUACGCGAAGAACCUUACCCGGACUUGAUAUCUAACAAAUCAUCCAGAGAUGGAAGAGUGCCUGCUUGCAGAAAUGUUAAGACAGGUGCUGCACGGCUGUCGUCAGCUCGUGUCGUGAGAUGUUGGGUUAAGUCCCGCAACGAGCGCAACCCACGUCAUUAGUUGCUAACGGUUCGGCCGAGCACUCUAAUGAGACUGCCUUCGUAAGGAGGAGGAAGGUGUGGACGACGUCAAGUCAUCAUGGCCCUUAUGUCCGGGGCGACACACGUGCUACAAUGGCAUAUACAAUAAGACGCAAUAUCGUAAGAUGGAGCAAAUCUAAAAAAUAUGUCCCAGUUCGGAUUGGAGUCUGCAACUCGACUCCAUGAAGCCGGAAUCGCUAGUAAUCGUUGAUCAGCCAUGCUACGGUGAAUACGUUCCCGGGUCUUGUACUCACCGCCCGUCACACCAUGGGAGUUGAUUUCACUCGAAGCGGGAAUGCGAAAUUCGCUNCCCUCCACAG